rnacentral:rRNA from 1 species
CGGACGGGUGAGUAACGCGUGGAAAACCUGCCGUAUACUGGGGGAUAACGACUUAGAAAUAGGUGCUAAUACCGCAUAAGCGCACAGCUUCGCAUGAAGCGGUGUGAAAAACUCUGGUGGUAUACGAUGGUUCCGCGUCUGAUUAGCUAGUUGGUGGGGUAAUGGCCUACCAAGGCAACGAUCAGUAGCCGGCCUGAGAGGGUGAACGGCCACAUUGGGACUGAGACACGGCCCAAACUCCUACGGGAGGCAGCAG